rnacentral:ncRNA from 1 species
AUAAUAUAUUUUAUUAUAGUAAUAAAAUUUAUUAAUUAAAUAUUUUAUAUGUAAAUUGUUGUGUGAUUAACUAUAAUUUAAAAAAUAAAAAUAAUUAGUUACAGUAAUUAAAAUUAUUAAUUUAAGAAAUUAUGAUUUAGUGAUUUAAUUUAAUAUAGGUUUAUUUUGUGCCAGCAAUCGCGGUUAUACAAAAUAUAUAAAUAAAUUAUUUUAAAAAGAAUUAAAUAUGAAUUUAAUAAUUAAAUUUUAUUUUAUAUUAUUAAGUGAAAUUUUAAUAUAAUGUAAUUUUAAUUAAAAUUUUUAUUGAUUUUAUAAAUUUUUUAAAAAACUAGGAUUAGAUACCCUAUUAUUAAAAUAUAAAUAUUAUUUUUAGAUUAGUAUUAGAUAUAUUGAUGAAAUUAAAAUAAUUUGGCGGUAUUUUAGUCUAUUCAGAGGAAUUUGUUUUAUAAUUGAUAAUCCUCGUUAUAUUUUACUUAUUUUAUUAAAUUUGUAUAUCGUUGUCAUUAGAAUAUAUUGUAAAAAUAAUAAUUUUCUAAAAUUAUUUAAAAUUUUAUGUCAAAUCAAGGUGCAGUUUAUAUUUAAGAAAAAAUGAAUUACAAUAAUAUAUAAUUAUUAUGAAUUAAAAAUUGAAAUAUUUUUAUGAAGGUGGAUUUGAAAGUAAAUUUAAUAAGAAUAUUAAAUUGACUAUAGCUCUAAAAUAUGUACAUAUCGCCCGUCGCUCUUAUUAUUAAAGUAAGAUAAGUCGUAACAAAGUAGAAUUAUUGGAAAAUGAUUCUAGAUAU